UGGGGUGUAUGCUCAGUGGCAGAGCAUUUGUUUAGUAUGCAAAAGGUCAUGGGUUUGAUCUUCAUCACCACAU
rnacentral:tRNA from 1 species